UACGUAGGGUGCAAGCGUUGUCCGGAAUUAUUGGGCGUAAAGAGCUCGUAGGCGGUCUGUCACGUCGGCUGUGAAAUCCCGAGGCUCAACCUCGGGUCUGCAGUCGAUACGAGCAAACUAGAGUAUUGCAGGGGAGACUGGAAUUCCUGGUGUAGCGGUGAAAUGCGCAGAUAUCAGGAGGAACACCGGUGGCGAAGGCGGGUCUCUGGGCAAUAACUGACGCUGAGGAGCGAAAGCGUGGGGAGCGAACAGG
rnacentral:rRNA from 1 species